rnacentral:rRNA from 1 species
AUUGAACGCUGGCGGCAGGCCUAACACAUGCAAGUCGAGCGGAUGAAGGGAGCUUGCUCCUGGAUUCAGCGGCGGACGGGUGAGUAAUGCCUAGGAAACUGCCUCGUAGCGUGGGAUUAAGCCCGGAAACGGGCGCUAAUACCGCAUACGGCCCGAGGGAGAAAGUGGGGGAUCUUCGGAUCUUACGCUAUCAGAUGAGCCUAGGUCGGAUUAGCUAGUUGGUGGGAUAAAGGCCUACCAAGGCGACGAUCCGUAACUGGUCUGAGAGGAUGAUCAGUGACACUGGAGCUGGGAGACGGUACAGACACCUACGGGAGGCAGAGGUGGGGAAUAUUGGACGAAGGGGGGAAGCCUGAUCCAGCCAUGCCGGGUGGAUGAAGAGGGUCUUCGGAUUGUAUAGCACUUUUAGUUGUGAAGAAGGGUAGUAAGAGAGUAGCUUGCUGUUGUGACGUUACCAAGAGAAGAAGCACCGGCUAACUUCGUG